rnacentral:lncRNA from 10 species
UCACAAUAGAAUUUUAGAAUAUUUUCAUCACCCCCAAGAGAAACCCAGUACCUGUGAGCAGUCACUCCAUUUCUACCACCUACCCCCACCCGAGUCCUAGACAACCACUAAUCUACUUUUUGUUUCCCCAGUUUUGCCUACUCUGGACAUUUCAUAUAAAUGGAAUUAUACAAUAUGUGGUCUUUCCCAACAGGCUUCUUCAUUUAACAUGUUUUCAAAAUUCAUCCACAUUGGCAGAAUGUAUCAGCACCUCAUUUCUUUUUAUUACUGAUUAAUAUUUCAUUUUAUGAACAUACCACAUUUUGUGUAUCAUUUCAUCAGUUGAUGGACAUUUGGGUUGUUUCCACUUUUUGGCAAGUAGGAAUAGCACUGCUGUGAACAUCUGUAUUCAGGUUUUUGUGUGGACAUAUGUUGGCAUUUCUCCCACAUAGAUACCUAAGGAUGGAAUUGCUGGAUCACAUGGUACAUUUAUUUUUAACAUUUUCAGAAAUUGUCAAGCUGUUUUACAAAACAGCCGCACUAUUUUACAUCCUACCAGCAAUGUAGAAGGUUCCAAUUUGUCCACAUCCUCUCCAACACUUGUUGUUAUCUGUCUUUUGGAUUCUAGCCACCCUAUGGGUGUGUAGUGUUAUUGUGGUUUUGAUUUCCAUUUACCUGAUGGCUAAUUACGUUGAGCAGUUUUUUGUGGGCUUAUUGGGCAUUUGUAUAUCAUCCAUGGAGAAAUGUCUAUUUGAGUCCUUUGUCCAUUUUUAU